UAUACUUGGUUUCACUUGUUUAUAUGACUUACAAUUUAGUUGGGUUAUUUGAUUCGACGUUAUUAAGGCACGCGGGCCAUCUGGUUCAGCCGGACCAUGUGCCACAAUUUCGUCUAUCGUGUCCGGGGCAGACCCUUUUUUCAAAUGCCGUGCGGUAACACAUGGCGGAGGUUUAUAUUCACCAUUUUUUUUCGCACACAACCACAAUAGGACUGAACCAUUUGCACUCCCCUCCGAACACCGUCGUCUUCCUCGCCCCCUCAUUACGCAAGCAGUGAAAUCCCGAGGAGAGAAGCGAUUUGCCGCCGCCUCACCGUAGUCCUAUCCCCGACACCGGCUGCAACUGCGCGCAUUAGUUUUCACUCACCCGCUGAUCGCUCGUCGGCGCUGAGCGUAUUGGUGGACGCAGCGACGGAGUGAACGUAUUCGCCUAUCGGGGGAAUCAGGUUUGUCCUUUAGAUAUUCAUCUUUUUACCCCACCGCCCCGCGUGUUCUACCUCCCGUAGUGAUCUCGCUGUUUAUUUGAGCAGUAUGUUUAUUUUUGGUUCAGGAAUGAUGGAUGCCGCCUCGGGUUCCGACAAUGGCGAUGGGUGCGACGCACUGAGUUCUCUCGAGCGUGCAACCAUGCCCCCCCCUCUAGAUUCAUCCGAACUCCCGGUAUCAUCCGCGGUGCCCGACGGCCAAUCUCCCUUGAUUUCGACUGUGGACUGCGAACCUUGGCGUGAACCCCAAAAGAGUAGAAAGAUGGGGGAGUCCCGGAGGACUACCAACUUCUUAGAAGCUUUGGCUCGGAAGCGAAAAGCAUUAGCGGCGGAGGAAGCCGCCCCUAAUGCGAGAACUCGAGGGACGGAGAACGGAGGUCGAGGAUCCGACGACGACGGAUUGGUCGAACCAAGGACGAAGAAGAAGAAAGUUCUGCGCGAAUCUGGCGCAUCUCAUGCGGCCGGAACACCCGCCGGGAUGAGGACGCGCUCCUCUCCGCGGUUUGUAGGUGCUGAACAAGGUUCUCGGGUUCCUGCCGCCAAUAAAUGGCGGCGAGCGAGGAAAAGUGAGUUGCGGCAGGGAGCAGGGCAGCGGGGUCGAGCUGACAAGGCCCCCUCAAGGUCAAAUAAGGGGGAGGAGAAGAGUGUUAAAAUGACUGAGUUUUCAUAAAGCAAAUGUACGCUGUUGUCCUAAGGAGGUGCUAGAGACGAACCAGAUGCUGAACAAAAACCAGAGGCAAUACGUUUUGAAGAAAGGUUUCAAGAAUAUAUUGUCCAUGCAACUUGACGAUGUUGAGGGCCGGAGCUUACUUUGUUGGUUACUGGACCACAUCGACCUCGAGUCGAUGACCCUACGGGCUGGGAGAGGGAAAGAGCUCAAAUUCUCCAAAGAUGUGGUCCGGCUGGUGCUAGGCCUCCCUAGUGCCGGAUCCACACCUCCAACUGUUUUUGCCAGUGAAAAGUCCAAGCAGGUUUUGAAGUUCAGAGAAGUUAUGAAUUUGGAGAGCCGAGCAUUCGAUGUGGAAACGAUGCAGGACCGCAUCAGAUCGGGGCUUGAUGAUGAUGCAACCAUGAUGUGCUAUUUCAUAGUCAUUUUCCAUAGCAUUCUGUUUCCUCAUGGUAGCUGGGAUAUCAGCAACGAUGAUGUUAUGCUUGCUCAUUGGGCGGUUCAGCUGCCUAAGAUUGAUUGGUGUCAGCUCAUCUACACGGACCUCUGCCACAGUGUCGAGAAGUGGCAAAAAAGGAAGAAGGACAAUCAAACUGCAACGAUGUAUGGAUGUAGCAUUGUUUUUCUUCUAUGGUAUCUUGACAACUUGAACCACGUGGUGUGCCCCCCUGAGAGGUUUAGCACUCCUCGUAUCAAGUACUGGACAAAGGAGAGGAUUCAGGAUGUGUCCGUGUGUGAUCGAGUUCGUACUGGCGAAUAUGGCCAU